rnacentral:rRNA from 1 species
UGACCGCUGGCGGCGUGCCUAAUACAUGCAAGUCGAGCGAACAGACGAGGAGCUUGCUCCUCUGACGUUAGCGGCGGACGGGUGAGUAACACGUGGAUAACCUACCUAUAAGACUGGGAUAACUUCGGGAAACCGGAGCUAAUACCGGAUAAUAUAUUGAACCGCAUGGUUCAAUAGUGAAAGACGGUUUUGCUGUCACUUAUAGAUGGAUCCGCGCCGCAUUAGCUAGUUGGUAAGGUAACGGCUUACCAAGGCAACGAUGCGUAGCCGACCUGAGAGGGUGAUCGGCCACACUGGAACUGAGACACGGUCCAGACUCCUACGGGAGGCAGCAGUAGGGAAUCUUCCGCAAUGGGCGAAAGCCUGACGGAGCAACGCCGCGUGAGUGAUGAAGGUCUUCGGAUCGUAAAACUCUGUUAUUGGGGAAGAACAAAUGUGUAAGUAACUAUGCACGUCUUGACGGUACCUAAUCAGAAAGCCACGGCUAACUACGUG